rnacentral:rRNA from 1 species
GGUCUGGGAUGGGCUCGCGGCCUAUCAGCUUGUUGGUGAGGUAAUGGCUCACCAAGGCGUCGACGGGUAGCCGGCCUGAGAGGGUGACCGGCCACACUGGGACUGAGACACGGCCCAGACUCCUACGGGAGGCAGCAGUGGGGAAUAUUGCACAAUGGGCGGAAGCCUGAUGCAGCAACGCCGCGUGAGGGAUGACGGCCUUCGGGUUGUAAACCUCUUUUAGCAGGGAAGAAGCGAGAGUGACGGUACCUGCAGAAAAAGCGCCGGCUAACUACGUGCCAGCAGCCGCGGUAAUACGUAGGGCGCAAGCGUUAUCCGGAAUUAUUGGGCGUAAAGAGCUCGUAGGCGGUUUGUCGCGUCUGCUGUGAAAUCCCGAGGCUCAACCUCGGGCCUGCAGUGGGUACGGGCAGACUAGAGUGCGGUAGGGGAGAUUGGAAUUCCUGGUGUAGCGGUGGAAUGCGCAGAUAUCAGGAGGAACACCGAUGGCGAAGGCAGAUCUCUGGGCCGUAACUGACGCUGAGGAGCGAAAGGGUGGGGAGCAAACAGGCUUAGAUACCCUGGUAGUCCACCCCGUAAACGUUGGGAACUAGUUGUGG